CAGCAGUCUGUGCUUGUUUAUGGUGUGGUUACAGCUGUUGGUAGGUCAGUUGUAAAUAUCUGAUCUGGAUGCUCCUGGGAAAACCCUUUCCGUCCUCAUGAAAGAUUCAGGGGGCAGACUUACUUCACUCAGCAUAAUGCCCUCAAGGUUCAUCCACAUCGUCCCAAAUGAGUAUGCAGCCAGGAGCCGAAGGCCUGCUUUCAACAGCCAAAGGGUCCAAUGUACUCUGAAAAGUUUACCAACAUCGCCCCGUGGCUGCAGUGGUCUCCAGCCGUGCAGGGGAGUCGGCCAUCAGUGAGACCCCAACAAACGCACCCACCGUGAGAGGGAGGGAAACGGAGACAGCCUUCCAACAGCUCCACGGUAUUUCUGUAUCCAUCCUUGAUUCGCCAAUUCCACCACAAGAAAUCCAUCUUAAGGACAUGCUCAUUCACAAAGUUAAAUAUGUAUUCAUACAGAAACGUCCCUGCAGAAUCGCCUACUGUAGCAAACAGUUAGAGAACAUCAACGCCUCUCGAUAGAGGGCCAGUCGACCUUUAUG
rnacentral:lncRNA from 1 species